AGCAGCCGCGGUAAUUCCAGCUCCAAUAGCGUAUAUUAAAGUUGUUGCAGUUAAAAAGCUCGUAGUUGAAUUUCGGGAUCAAUUUGCUGGUCGUGCCUUCGGUACGCACUGGUAUUAUUGGUUUCUCCUUUCUGAUGAAUCGCGAUGUCAUUAAUUUGGUGUCGUGGGGAAUCAGGACUGUUACUUUGAAAAAAUUAGAGUGUUUAAAGCAGGCUCACGCUUGAAUACAUUAGCAUGGAAUAAUGAAAUAGGACGUUUUGAUUCUAUUUUGUUGGUUUCUAGGAUCGACGUAAUGAUUAAUAGGGAUAGUUGGGGGCAUUAGUAUUCAAUUGUCAGAGGUGAAAUUCUUGGAUUUAUUGAAGACUAACUACUGCGAAAGCAUUUGCCAAGGAUGUUUUCAUUAAUCAAGAACGAAAGUUAGGGGAUCGAAGACGAUCAGAUACCGUCGUAGUCUUAACCAUAAACUAUGCCGACUAGGGAUCGGAUGAUGUUAAUUUUUAAUGA
rnacentral:rRNA from 1 species